rnacentral:rRNA from 1 species
UACGUAGGGGGCUAGCGUUGUCCGGAUUUAUUGGGCGUAAAGAGCGUGUAGGCGGCCAGGUAGGUCCGCUGUGAAAGUCCGAGGCUCAACCUCGGAAUGUCGGCGGAAACCCUCUGGCUAGAGUCCGGAAGAGGAGAGUGGAAUUCCCGGUGUAGAGGUGAAAUUCGUAGAUAUCGGGAGGAACACCGGUGGCGAAGGCGGCGACCUGGGUCGAGACUGACGCUGAGGCGCGAAAGCGUGGGGAGCAAACAGG